GUGAGGAAUAUUGGACAAUGGGCGCAAGCCUGAUCCAGCCAUGCCGCGUGCAGGAAGACGCAUCUAUGGUGUGUAAACUGCUUUUGUACGGGAAGAAACACUCCCUCGUGAGGGAGCUUGACGGUACCGUAAGAAUAAGGAUCGGCUAACUCCGUGCCAGCAGCCGCGGUAAUACGGAGGAUCCAAGCGUUAUCCGGAAUCAUUGGGUUUAAAGGGUCCGUAGGUGGUUUAAUAAGUCAGUGGUGAAAGCCCAUCGCUCAACGAUGGAACGGCCAUUGAUACUGUUAGACUUGAAUUACAAGGAAGUAACUAGAAUAUGUAGUGUAGCGGUGAAAUGCUUAGAUAUUACAUGGAAUACCAAUUGCGAAGGCAGGUUACUACUUGUGGAUUGACGCUGAUGGACGAAAGCGUGGGGAGCGAACAGGAUUAGAAACCCGUGUAGUCC
rnacentral:rRNA from 1 species